AAAGGAAUAGACGGGGGCCCGCACAAGCGGUGGAGCAUGUGGUUCAAUUCGACGCAACGCGAAGAACCUUACCUGGGCUCGAACGGCCGGUUAACGGCGGUGGAAACAUCGCUACCCCGCAAGGGGGUCCGGUCGAGGUGCUGCAUGGCUGUCGUCAGCUCGUGUCGUGAGAUGUUGGGUUAAGUCCCGCAACGAGCGCAACCCUCGUCCUGUGUUGCCACCCCGCAAGGGAGCACUCGCAGGAGACCGCCAGCGAUAAGUUGGAGGAAGGUGGGGAUGACGUCAAGUCCUCAUGGCCUUUAUGUCCAGGGCUACACACGUGCUACAAUGGCCGGUACAAACCGCAGCAAACCCGCGAGGGGGAGCCAAUCGGAGAAAACCGGUCUCAGUUCGGAUUGCAGGCUGCAACCCGCCUGCAUGAAGCUGGAAUCGCUAGUAAUGGCAGAUCAGCAUGCUGCCGUGAAUACGUUCCCGGGCCUUGUACACACCGCCCGU
rnacentral:rRNA from 1 species